AUUGAACGCUGGCGGCAGGCCUAACACAUGCAAGUCGAACGGUAACAGGAAGCAGCUUGCUGCUUUGCUGACGAGUGGCGGACGGGUGAGUAAUGUCUGGGAAACUGCCUGAUGGAGGGGGAUAACUACUGGAAACGGUAGCUAAUACCGCAUAACGUCGCAAGACCAAAGAGGGGGACCUUCGGGCCUCUUGCCAUCGGAUGUGCCCAGAUGGGAUUAGCUAGUAGGUGGGGUAAAGGCUCACCUAGGCGACGAUCCCUAGCUGGUCUGAGAGGAUGACCAGCCACACUGGAACUGAGACACGGUCCAGACUCCUACGGGAGGCAGCAGUGGGGAAUAUUGCACAAUGGGCGCAAGCCUGAUGCAGCCAUGCCGCGUGUAUGAAGAAGGCCUUCGGGUUGUAAAGUACUUUCAGCGGGGAGGAAGGGAGUAAAGUUAAUACCUUUGCCCAUUGACGUUACCCGCAGAAGAAGCACCGGCUAACUCCGUG
rnacentral:rRNA from 1 species